UACCAGCACCCCGAGUGGUCGGGACGUUUAUUGGGCCUAAAGCAUCCGUAGCCGGUUCUACAAGUCUUCCGUUAAAUCCACCUGCUUAACAGAUGGGCUGCGGAAGAUACUAUGGAGCUAGGAGGCGGGAGAGGCAAGCGGUACUCGAUGGGUAGGGGUAAAAUCCGUUGAUCCAUUGAAGACCACCAGUGGCGAAGGCAGCUUGCCAGAACGCGCUCGACGGUGAGGGAUGAAAGCUGGGGGAGCAAACCGG
rnacentral:rRNA from 1 species